ACCAAACCUUCCAAUCUGUCCACAUGGAUUGGUGAAUACCAAGAUUGCAAAAUAUUCACCAGUCCCAAUAUGCACAAGACAGCAUAUAAGAAUAAAUCAGUUUUCCGUUCAACUACUUUCAGCAACCAGCAUGUCCUCCAACCUUAAGAUGUCUCCUUCUGUGCAGAUUGCUUGCCCUGCAUGACAAUCCACUUUAGUGCUGAAAAUCAUGGAAUGAAGUGAUAACUGAAUUAUGCAAGAAAGAGAACCGCAAAAAACAUUGCUACAACAUAUUGAUUCAGUUUUGUAGUUAUUUUAUCCUUUCUGUGCAGUUGUAAGGCCUAAAUGCCAAAGCUCUAGGAAAAUCCAAGACAACGAGGCACAGGCUGAGGUGCAGAGUUAAAUUCUUUUGAAAUUCAUGUUUGAGAGACAUAAGACGCCCGUUUUACACCAAUGUUCUCCAAGCAGAAAGACUUUGUUAAUGAAUACCACAAUUUCAAUGCAUUACUUCACAAUUGCUUUCACAACUCCGGGCAGUAGAUAAACAACAUGCAAAAUUUUCCAGCCCAUAUUUUGUUAUGUAGUCAAUUUAUAAAAACACAAUCCUUGUCAUUUCAAAGAUCUUGAUGCCCUACUGCAAUACUGGCACAUAUCAAUGGCUAAGGAGAUAUAGGCACUGAGAGUACUUCAUAAGAAGGACUAGGGCCAAAAGAUCAUGCUUACCAGUAUUGGUUGUGGAAUAUUACUGAAUCAGUCGGUACUUUUCUGCCAUCAUCAUUUCGGUUCCAGUGGUAGAAUGCAUGGGUUCUAUUCCUAAUCUCCAAGCUAGAAUGACCAUAACUGGCCUCACGGAAGGCAGAAUAUUCUGGUUGUGGGUCCCAAAACCUUCCAGCAAGACCUUCCUGAUUUCCACCAUCUCCAACAGUUAUG
rnacentral:misc_RNA from 1 species